AACACAUGCAAGUCGAACGGUAACAGGAAGCAUCUUGCUGCUUUGCUGACGAGUGGCGGACGGGUGAGUAAUGUCUGGGAAACUGCCUGAUGGAGGGGGAUAACUACUGGAAACGGUAGCUAAUACCGCAUAACGUCGCAAGACCAAAGAGGGGGACCUUCGGGCCUCUUGCCAUCGGAUGUGCCCAGAUGGGAUUAGCUAGUAGGUGGGGUAACGGCUCACCUAGGCGACGAUCCCUAGCUGGUCUGAGAGGAUGACCAGCCACACUGGAACUGAGACACGGUCCAGACUCCUACGGGAGGCAGCAGUGGGGAAUAUUGCACAAUGGGCGCAAGCCUGAUGCAGCCAUGCCGCGUGUAUGAAGAAGGCCUUCGGGUUGUAAAGUACUUUCAGCGGGGAGGAAGGGAGUAAAGUUAAUACCUUUGCUCAUUGACGUUACCCGCAGAAGAAGCACCGGCUAACUCCGUGCCAGCAGCCGCGGUAAUACCGAGGGUGCAAGCGUUAAACGGAAUUACUGGGCGUAAAGCGCACGCAGGCGGGUUUGUUAAGUCAGAUGUGAAAUCCCCGGGCUCAAACCUGGGAACUGCAUCUGAUACUGGCAAGCUUGAGUCUCGUAGAGGGGGGUAGAAUUCCAGGUGUAGCGGUGAAAUGCGUAGAGAUCUGGAGGAAUACCGGUGGCGAAGGCGGCCCCCUGGACGAAGACUGACGCUCAGGUGCGAAAGCGUGGGGAGCAAACAGGAUUAGAUACCCUGGUAGUCCACGCCGUAAACGAUGUCGACUUGGAGGUUGUGCCCUUGAGGCGUGGCUCCCGGAGCUAACGUGUUAAGUCGACCGCCUGGGGAGUACGGCCGCAAGGUUAAAACUCAAAUGAAUUGACGGGGGCCCGCACAAGCGGUGGAGCAUGUGGUUUAAUUCGAUGCAACGCGAAGAACCUUACCUGGUCUUGACAUCCACGGAAGUUUUCAGAGAUGAGAAUGUGCCUUCGGGAACCGUGAGACAGGUGCUGCAUGGCUGUCGUCAGCUCGUGUUGUGAAAUGUUGGGUUAAGUCCCGCAACGAGCGCAACCCUUAUCCUUUGUUGCCAGCGGUCCGGCCGGGAACUCAAAGGAGACUGCCAGUGAUAAACUGGAGGAAGGUGGGGAUGACGUCAAGUCAUCAUGGCCCUUACGACCAGGGCUACACACGUGCUACAAUGGCGCAUACAAAGAGAAGCGACCUCGCGAGAGCAAGCGGACCUCAUAAAGUGCGUCGUAGUCCGGAUUGGAGUCUGCAACUCGACUCCAUGAAGUCGGAAUCGCUAGUAAUCGUGGAUCAGAAUGCCACGGUGAAUACGUUCCCGGGCCUUGUACACACCGCCCGUCACACCAUGGGAGUGGGUUGCAAAAGAAGUAGGUAGCUUAACCUUCGGGAGGGCGCUUACCACUUUGUGAUUCAUGACUGGGGUGAAGU
rnacentral:rRNA from 1 species